AGAGAGGAGAGGAGAGGAGAAGAAAGGAGAGGAGAGGAGGGGAGAGAUUUGGACACAUGGAGUUGGUUGCUGUCCAGUGGACGUGUGUGGAGCUGCACUGCGGUUUGGGGAACUAAGGAGCCUGCGGGGAAGGGACAGGGGCCCCCAAGUCUCCUCUAAGGGUAAGGUGAUGCUGUCAAUUAGCUGCUGCUGGAGCAUCGGAUUGGGGGCGUGAAGGUGUUGCCCAGUAGGCAAGGUCCCCACUUAGUGUCCCCAGGUGCCAGCAGGCCAGCGCGGCGGUGGCUGCCGAGGUGUCGGGGAGGAGCCGGCUCUCCAGGGAGUGGGAAGAAGAAGCCACAGAACCCGGGCCCUGGGCUGAGCUCAUGUCUGACCACCUCCCUCCCAUUACUGCUCCAAAGGCCGAAUGUCUCUCUUUGUUCCUUUGCUUCAAGGGCCUCGAUACCAGCAGUGACUCCGAGAGGCGAGGAAAGCAAGCUACAGGGAGUUGGUAGGGUUCCCAAGGCCCCGCAGGUGGAGGAGCAGAAUGCAAAUCCAGGAGCGCCUGGCGCUGCUGGCUUUGCCUUGUUCCCAGAGAUGCUUUGAGCGAUCUGCAGCUUUGAGCCCUUGAAGAGCGGUGAGCAAUCGUUAACCAGCAGGCACAUACCUCAAACGGCCAGAGAUCAGGCCAGAGAUCAUCGUGUGCGAAGAGGCCCUGGUGAGCAGAAGUUGGACCCUUUCAAACACACGGACCCUGUCUCUCAGGCCAAACGCCAUUCAGGGCCCUCGCCCUCGUGCGAGCGUGGGCACCCCUCAGUCCUGCUCCCUGAGCUGACCUUGCAUGUCGCCUCCCGUCUUUCCUCCAUGCCACCCCUCGCGAGUGUCGGCAUCUCUGUUCUGAUGAAAGUCCGCGGGCCCUCCUUCCUAACAUAACAAGCGAACAUUUUCCUGCUUCUCCCUGGACGGAGCCCUGAGCAGCACUGCCCUGCCCCCGGCCCAGGCCGGGUGUGGGUCUGUGCGGAUCUC